AGCACACAAAAUUAGACCGAGGCGCCUGCCGGCAGCUGCCUAGGUAGAAGGAACAAGUUUUCCUACAGUCAUACGCCAGUGGGUUUUUAUGCAUCAUCUCCAGGGGCUGGAGGAGUCCCAAACGUUGUUUGUGGCUCCUAAUCAGUGCCCGGGGCUUGUCGGCUUAGCCUGCCCACAAACGCCUGGAUCAGAGGGAGCCGGGCUCCACCCUUCCUCUUCUGUGCAAAGCGGCUCCGUGCUGUUCCCACUGACUUGCAAUGAACGGGAAGCUAAAAACACCUUCUAGCCAGGGCAGACGUAGCCCAAAAGCUGCUCGGAAACUGUGUUUUAAUGCUCUUCUUUUUCCACCUAGAGAAGAGCAUUUUCCCAAGACUCUGGAGAGCAUCUUCUCUGCCACUGAUUUCCUAUGUGACUUGGCUGCUGCCCUGCCAGGCAAGCCAAGGGUGAAGAUACUGCUGGGAGAUGGAGUCAAGCUGGGGUGAAUGUCCCUUACUGCAGAACCAGCACAUGCUCGAGAAACUUGACAGCAAACCACAUGUCACUAUUUCUGCUGGAGACCUAAUCAAGGGCUUUCCAUCACCAGUGCCCUGUCAUAUUCAACACAGGUUUUAGAAACUUAUUCUUUAUUUCUGGUGUCUGGCAAUCCAGCCAUCUUCCCUUUCUUUCUCUGCAUUUUGAAGGAAGCCCUACCAACACUCACAGGGCACCUAAACCAGCAAAGCCUUUGCACAGACGUGCAUCCCCUCCGAUUGUAGGAGACCUGGUUUGUGCAACUGCAUGCAGACAUGCCUGUGGAAACAAUACCUGGAAACAAACACAGAGCUACCCGAUUGCUAUUAAUAUAUACUAGUGGGAUCCCAGCUACAAGCUUGUGGGCUGUACAAGAACCAGAGAAGAAAACUCUGAAGCUGUGGUCUAGGCCUUGCCAUUGAGUUUGAUCCCUGAAUCCUGAAAACUUCACCCUCAUCACUCCCUCUAGCCACUUGCUUGAUGGAGCAGAAGGUGAGAAUCCCCAUGGACAUCUAUUUUUCUACAGAAACUGCGCUCAUAGCUGACACAGUCUGCUUAUAUCAGUGGCGGAUCUCCUUUAGAUGAAAGGUAAAAAGGACUGCUCUGCCAAAACAGAAGACAACCCAACAAACGAGCUUUGCCUGCUUAUUGAACAGUUUCACUUAAAAGCAUUGCAACGGUGUGGUGUUUCAGCACAAGAACACACUGGUAGGACAUGAUGGCACUUGUUCUCAAUGGUUUAUGCCUUAUAUUCAACCCCAAUGAGGAUGCAGACCUGAUGCUUUUAAUUCCAAGGUGCCUGCUGCAGCCCAGGUUAAAAUGAGCUUUUGAAGGGUUUUGCUCAUUUUCUAAUGCAUCAGGGAUAAUUCUGGGCUGCACUUUGGAGAUGUAGGGUUGCAUAUUUUUAAGGCCAAGAGCAAUUAAAAAAAUAAUUCACCCUUUCUGCUGAAUAUGAAAAAUACAGGGAAGCCCCCAAAAUGCAAGCAUUUCUUCUUGCAUUAGGAAACUUGUUGUUUUAAGGUCAAAAUUAACACUG